rnacentral:rRNA from 1 species
GACGAACCGUGCGAACGUUAUUCGGAAUCACUGGGCUUAAAGCGCGUGUAGGCGGGCCAGCACGUCGGGCGCUGAAAUCCCCCGGCUCAACCGGGGAACGGGCACCGAUACGACUGGCCUGGAGGGGAGUAGGGGGACCUGGAACUUCCGGUGGAGCGGUGAAAUGCGUUGAGAUCGGAAGGAACGCCCGUGGCGAAAGCGGCUCACUGGACCAUUACUGACGCUGAGGCACGAAAGCUAGGGGAGCAAACAGG